AAUUUGUUUUUUCCCUGCCAUUUUGGUAAAGUGGAGAAGUAAAAUUUCACCAUAGUUCAUGAUUGAUACAGACUCUCAUGUGAGAAAAGUCAAUGCGAGAUGGCUUAAAAAGAAAUUUAUCUUGGGCAAAAUAAUUUGUACUUAGUAAUGGAAUAUGCAAUGCCAAAAAAUUAGCAAUAACAUUUUUUCCUGUACUUUGGUGAUUGGUAUUGUUCACAGAAGAGUUGUGUUCAGCAGCUGAUAUUGACAAGCAAUCAGCUGUCUCUUGUUCCAAAUAUGUGUGUGUAUGUUUAUUCUGUAAAUUUAAAGUUAAUAACUUGGUAGGUUAAUUGUUAUCCUAUUGGUGCAUAUUAAAUCUGUGUUGACUAAAAGGUUGGAAACAUUUUAUGUUCAAGUGUUAAAAGAUUGUAAAUCAAUGACGGGAUUCGAUAACUAAUGUUUGUCCCAUGUGACGUCUAAAGAGUGCAGAUGUAUAUUUUGGUACGGACAAUUUUAAUUUUAUGUCAGAGUGUUUAUGUUCAGUUGUAUAGUUCUUGUUUAUAAGAAUGGCUGCAUUAACUAGAAAUCUCAACCAUAUAGCUUUUUUUGUUCUCACCUGUGACAAUAUCUUCUUGAUAUCAAAUCAGUUUUUUGUUUGUCCCUGUAUGUUUGUAAUACGUGGAUUAUGUCCCCCCCCCCCCCCCCCCCCCCCCCCCCCCCCCCCCCACCGCACACACCCCUUAUGUAUCACACAGGUAGCAAUGCACUUCAGUAUGAAUUAAUUCAGUGUUAUCUUAGUUAAAAAUAUAUAAUAUCACUAGCAUCCAAAAUAACUAUUGUUAUUACAUUUUUUUUAUGUGAUGUACAUAUGUUGAAUAGACAUGUAUCUGAUGAAAAGUUAGGUUGUGAAUAUGAAACCUCCCCAAUGCAAUCUUUAUACCAUUUAUCACAUUUUAUUUUUGUCUUCAUUUCAGCAUUCUCACUUUCAUACCAUAUCUUUUUUAUUUUAUCGAACUUUUUUUUUGUACAAAAGAUCCUGCAUGUAUGGAAGUGUAAAUAUUUUGGAAGAAUUUUUUUGUUUUGUUUUGAAGUGAAAAAGAUGUCCAGGCCUUUCACGUCUGGUUAAAAUUGUUGGGGAAAAAAUAACAGCUGUCUAGAAAUAUUAAAUAAUUUUUAAGGGAUCUUGCGCCAGUAAGUUGGAUGAAACAUGUUGUUGUCCUGUCAUCUGGUUUGUUUUUAACCUCACAUAAUUGUAAUGAAUAGUGUUGUAAGGGAAAAGUUCAAAAGUUUGAAGUUGUUACUGAUCCAUUACUGAUGUAUUGAAGAUGGAGAGGAGAGAGAUGCAUUAUUCUUUCUGGGGGCAUUGCAAGUCCACUGUGAAUUAAUAGCUACUAUUUUUUUGUCUUUAAUUCAUUUCCAAAGGCUGUAAUAUAUCUUAUGUCAAAGGUUUGUAUGAUUCAGUGAUCAUGUAUAGGUUUUUUCCUUGUAUAUAUGUAACUGAGUCUUUGUUAUUUCUGCUAUGAAAUGAAGUGGUUUCGGACCACACAGUAAAACCAUUGUUAUUUGUGACAUUUUGUCAUGUGGUUUUUGUAUACACCACAUCUCCAAGUUAAUAAAUCUACUAUACUUU
rnacentral:sRNA from 1 species